rnacentral:rRNA from 1 species
AAAUUGAAGAGUUUGAUCAUGGCUCAGAUUGAACGCUGGCGGCAGGCCUAACACAUGCAAGUCGAACGGUAACAGAGAGCAGCUUGCUGCUUUGCUGACGAGUGGCGGACGGGUGAGUAAUGUCUGGGAAACUGCCUGAUGGAGGGGG